AUUCAAAAAUUUUUCAUCAUUCAACAAAUUGAAUCAUGAUGAGAUUUAUUAUUUGUCUGAUGUAUCU
ensembl:snoRNA